UACAGAGGUCUCAAGCGUUUGUUCGGAUUCAUUGGGCGUAAAGGGUGCGUAGGCGGCGCGGUAAGUCGGGUGUGAAAUCUCGGGGCUUAACUCCGAAAACUGCAUUCGAUACUGCCGUGCUUGAGGACUGGAGAGGAGACUGGAAUUUACGGGUGUAGCGGUGGAAAUGCGUAGAUAUCGUAAGGAAGACCAGUGGCGAAGGCGGGUCUCUGGACAGUUCCUGACGCUGAGAAGCGAAAGCAUGGGGAGCGAACAGG
rnacentral:rRNA from 1 species